rnacentral:rRNA from 1 species
AUUGAACGCUGGCGGCAUGCCUUACACAUGCAAGUCGAGCGGCAGCGCGGGGGCAACCCUGGCGGCGAGCGGCGGACGGGUGAGUAAUACAUCGGAACGUGUCCUUUCGUGGGGGAUAACCAGUCGAAAGACUGGCUAAUACCGCAUGAGAUCUCACGAUGAAAGCGGGGGACCGCAAGGCCUCGCGCGAUUGGAGCGGCCGAUGUCGGAUUAGCUAGUUGGCGGGGUAAAGGCCCACCAAGGCGACGAUCCGUAGCUGGUUUGAGAGAACGACCAGCCACACGGGGACUGAGACAGGGCCCAGACUCCUACGGGAAGCAGCAGUGGGGAAUUUUGGACAAUGGGCGCAAACCUGAUCCAGCCAUGCCGCGUGUGUGAAGAAGGCCUUCGGGUUGUAAAGCACUUUCGGCCGGAACGAAAUCGCGCGGGCGAACAUCCCGCGUGGAUGACGGUACCGGAAGAAGAAGCACCGGCUAACUACGUGCCAGCCGCCGCCGUAACAC